GACGAACGCUGGCGGCGUGCUUAACACAUGCAAGUCGAACGGAAAGGCCCUGCUUUUGUGGGGUGCUCGAGUGGCGAACGGGUGAGUAACACGUGAGUAACCUGCCCUUCACUUUGGGAUAACCUCAGGAAACUGGGGCUAAUACCGGAUAGGAUCUCCCGCUGCAUGGUGGGGGUUGGAUAGUUUCGGCGGUUGGGGAUGGACUGGCGGCUUAUCAGCUUGUUGGUGGGGUAGUGGCUUACCAAGGCCUUGACGGGUAGCCGGCCUGAGAGGGUGACCGGCCACAUUGGGACUGAGAUACGGCCCAGACUCCUACGGGAGGCAGAAGUGGGGAAUAUUGCACAAUGGGAGGGAGCCUGAUGCAGCAACGCCGCGUGCGGGAUGACGGCCUUCGGGUUGUGAACCGCUUUCGCCUGUGACGAAGCGUGAGUGACGGUAAUGGGUAAAGAAGCACCGGCUAACUACGUG
rnacentral:rRNA from 1 species